GUUUGAUCCUGGCUCAGGACGAACGCUGGUCGCGUGCUUAACACAUGCAAGUCGAACGAUGAAGCUGGAGCUUGCUCCGGUGGAUUAGUGGCGAACGGGUGAGUAACACGUGAGAAAUCUGCCCUUGACUCUGGGAUAACUGCGGGAAACUGUAGCUAAUACCGGAUACUUUCCCUGGUGGGCAUCCACUGGGGAAGAAAGAAUUUCGGUCAAGGAUGAUCUCGCGGCCUAUCAGCUAGUUGGUGAGGUAACGGCUCACCAAGGCGACGACGGGUAGCCGGCCUGAGAGGGUGACCGGCCACACUGGGACUGAGACACGGCCCAGACUCCUACGGGAGGCAGCAGUGGGGAAUAUUGCACAAUGGGCGCAAGCCUGAUGCAGCAACGCCGCGUGAGGGAUGACGGCCUUCGGGUUGUAAACCUCUUUUAGCAGGGAAGAAGCGAAAGUGACGGUACCUGCAGAAAAAGCACCGGCUAACUACGUGCCAGCAGCCGCGGUAAUACGUAGGGUGCAAGCGUUGUCCGGAAUUAUUGGGCGUAAAGAGCUCGUAGGCGGUUUGUCACGUCUGCUGUGAAAAUCCAAGGCUCAACCUUGGACUUGCAGUGGGUACGGGCAGGCUAGAGUGCGGUAGGGGAGAUGGGAAUUCCUGGUGUAGCGGUGGAAUGCGCAGAUAUCAGGAGGAACACCNAUGGCGAAGGCACAUCUCUGGGCCGUAACUGACGCUGANGAGCGAAAGCGUGGGGAGCGAACAGGAUAGAUACCCUGGUAGUCCACCCG
rnacentral:rRNA from 1 species